rnacentral:rRNA from 1 species
AGCGUAGACGGCAAGGCAAGUCUGAUGUGAAAGGCGGGGGCUCAACCCCUGGACUGCAUUGGAAACUGUUAGUCUUGAGUGCCGGAGAGGUAAGCGGAAUUCCUAGUGUAGCGGUGAAAUGCGUAGAUAUUAGGAGGAACACCAGUGGCGAAGGCGGCUUACUGGACGGUAACUGACGUUGAGGCUCGAAAGCGUGGGGAGCAAACA